AUCAGGAGGACUGAAACUGUAAACACAAGCUGGUAUUUUGGUGUGAUCACGCUAAUAUGGCGGUUUGUGAGGUCAAGGGGUGGAAGGUGAAUUAUGGAUCCAGAAUUUCCUUGCUUUUAUCAGUUUAAGUCAGGCUGCUUGUGAGUAGCUGCUUUUCAAACUUGAAUAACUCAGCUAUUUUAAAGCAAUGGAGACCUACCUUAAAUAAUUAGAGGGGCUACACUGGAGAAGUGUCUUCCCAGGAAAGUAGUGGAGGCUCCAUUCCGCAGAACCUUUAAAAUUAGACCAUGAAAGGCAUGUAACAGCCUAGUUCUCAACAUAACCAUGAGUUGUUCACAGCAUAAAGUGUUGGGUAAAACAACCCAAGGUCUCUAUAAAACUUCUCAUCUCAAUGGAAAACCAUUUAGGUGGCUUGUUUUAUUAUUAAAAGUUCACUUAACAAAAAAAUGGAAAAUGGUUUAUUUAAUUGUCCAGUGUACCCUAAAAAGAAAUGAACCAAGUUUCAGACAGAACUCGGAAUACUUUCCCCACUUUGCUGUUGAGGAAAAAAUUAUCUUUGUUGUUUAGUUACAGGCAGUAUGAUAAGGAACAAUCUGAAUGACACGUAAACAGGAGGGGGUAAAUUCCAAGCACAGCCUGAAUGAGAAGUAUAACUCAUUUCCCGUAACCUAGAUGCCUUUUUAACACAUCUAUGCAGUCUCCAUGUGAAACCAGGUGCUGUUCCCAAAGGAGAAAACACUGCCCUCCAGUGGUCUUCAAUGAAGAAAUGGAAAUAGUUUCAGGUGGAAACCAGGCUUCUUGGAAGAAUUCAAACUAUGCCAAAUGGUCUGAUUUCACCAUAGAGAAUGUUAUACUAUUAAUUGCCAAUUUGCAUAUGUGUGCAGCUGCUGUUUUGGCUCUGAACUCAAUCCGAUAAGCUUGCUGGAGGUAUCGCAGAGCACUUGGCAGCUUUCCUAUUUGAAAAGAAAGCCUCUCCCCUCUACAGAACAGCUGAUCGUCUAUCAGCGAUAGACCCUGAUG
rnacentral:antisense_RNA from 1 species